rnacentral:rRNA from 1 species
CACAGAGGUGGCAAGCGUUGUUCGGAAUUACUGGGCGUAAAGGGCGAGUAGGUGGCCAUCUAAGUCAGACGUGAAAUCCCCCGGCUUAACCUGGGAACUGCGUCUGAUACUGGACGGCUAGAGUAUGGGAGAGGGAUGUAGAAUUCCAGGUGUAGCGGUGAAAUGCGUAGAUAUCUGGAGGAAUACCGGUGGCGAAGGCGGCUCUCUGGGACGGUACUGACGCUGAGACGCGAAGGCGUGGGGAGCGAACAGG